UGGGGAAUCUUCCGCAAUGGACGAAAGUCUGACGGAGCAACGCCGCGUGAGUGAUGACGGCCUUCGGGUUGUAAAGCUCUGUUAAUCGGGACGAAAGGCCUUCUUGCGAAUAGUGAGAAGGAUUGACGGUACCGGAAUAGAAAGCCACGGCUAACUACGUGCCAGCAGCCGCGGUAAUACGUAGGUGGCAAGCGUUGUCCGGAAUUAUUGGGCGUAAAGCGCGCGCAAGCGGAUAGGUCAGUCUGUCUUAAAAGUUCGGGGCUUAACCCCGUGAUGGGAUGGAAACUGCCAAUCUAGAGUAUCGGAGAGGAAAGUGGAAUUCCUAGUGUAGCGGUGAAAUGCGUAGAUAUUAGGAAGAACACCAGUGGCGAAGGCGACUUUCUGGACGAAAACUGACGCUGAGGCGCGAAAGCCAGGGGAGCGGACGGGAUUAGAUACCCCGGUAGGUCCUGGCCGUAAAACGAUGGGUACUAGGUGUAGGAGGUAUCGACCCCCUUCUGGUGCCGGAGUUAACGCAAUAAGUUACCCCGCCUGGGGGAGUACGACCCGCAAGGGUUG
rnacentral:rRNA from 1 species